rnacentral:rRNA from 1 species
UACAGAGGUCUCAAGCGUUGUUCGGAUUCAUUGGGCGUAAAGGGUGCGUAGGCGGCGCGGUAAGUCGGGUGUGAAAUUUCGGAGCUUAACUCCGAAACUGCAUUCGAUACUGCCGUGCUUGAGGACUGGAGAGGAGACUGGAAUUUACGGUGUAGCAGUGAAAUGCGUAGAGAUCGUAAGGAAGACCAGUGGCGAAGGCGGGUCUCUGGACAGUUCCUGACGCUGAGACACGAAGGCCAGGGGAGCAAACGGG